AGAAUCAACGCUGGCGGCGUGCCUAACACAUGCAAGUCGCACGAGAAAGGGAGCAAUCCCUGAGUACAGCGGCGCACGGGUGAGUAACACGUGAAUUAUCUACCUCCGAGUGGGGAAUAACCAAAGAAAUUUUGGCUAAUACCGCAUAACACCUACGAGUCAAAGCAGCAAUGCGCUUGGAGAGGAGUUCGCGGCAGAUUAGCUAGUUGGCGGGUAAUGGCCCACCAAGGCGAUGAUCUGUA
rnacentral:rRNA from 1 species